UCCUAAAGUGAAAUUGGUGUCAUCAGUCAUUCAUUGUUACUUUAGUAGGUACAAAUUUGACAAAAAAACCCUAGAGACAGAGUGUUAAAGGCUAAUGAUACUAGGCAAAAAACUCUGUGUUAUAUUUAAGGUUAAGAGAUUCACUCUUUGUAUUCAAGAACAAUUUUUACAUUCUUGAAACUUGCACUUUCAAGGCUACUCUGAUAAAGCACCUUAGAGGAAAGUCUGUUUGUACUCAUUCUAAAAAGCUACACAAAUUCAAACACUUAUUUAAUAAGAUGGAUAAUUUUAAAGUUCACAUCAAUUUUAAUGUAAAAGCAAUGUCACUUCAGAGGUUCUCAGCAGGCAGCAAAAGCUUUCAAACUUAUUUAAACACCAGCUGCGUUUCAACAAAAUGUCAGUUCCCCCAGUUCCACUCACACAGGAAACUCCUUGGUAAACAGCCUCUUUCUCUGCUUUCUAAUGGAUGCCUGACCUAUUUAUUGCACCACAGACACAAUACUGAAAGAAUCCUGCAGCAGGCACUUAGAAAAAGCAAGCUAAUAAAACCACAAGUUGCAGGAGUUUGCUAGAAGCAAUGAAAUUUAUGCCACGCCUCCCCAAAAUGUAUUCCCUUAUUCAUUAGUAAUUUAUUUUGAAACAAAGUAGAAUGCAAUGGUAAAAACUUAGUUUAUAGGGCAUGUUACUGAAAGGAAGAAUUGAGAUGUUGAAGUCUGAAUGUUCAAAAUAAUCAAAACUAAUCCUGCUAAAAGGGAGUCAAUUAAGAUACAGAGAGAUGCUCAUAGCUCCUUUUCCUUUUCCUUUUCCAAGUGGUUAUGAAGUUAAAGCAGCACUGCCAUGACUGGCAACUUAUAACUGCCAAGUAUAAAAUGUAUGUCAGCCCUGAAUUUCAGCAAGUUAUGUGGAAUAGACACACUUCACCCCAACACCACUCAAUAUGGAUGCCUUGUUUGCCAUACAGACAGGAGCUCAAAAUUGUAAACCUCAGACAGGUUAUUCCACACAAACCAUGCUGUCCUCUUGAGGGCUGAUAGCUUGCAAAUUUUACCACUUCUGAUGUGGAAAAGGGAUGAGAGGGAAACAGAUAUCCAGUAACAAUAAAAUACAGAAGGACCUUAUCUGCUUUGCCCCAAUUCUCAGCCUAUUUCCUUAUUCCAGCUCUGUGCCUGCCCUCUGGUUUCCAAGCUACAUAAGGAAGCUGUGGCUCAAAGAAAAUAGUUUUUAGAGCAUGGACUACUCAUUGUUGAGAUGCAUGACUGCACACUUGGCAAAGAAACAAACUGAGAAUAAAGCUAAAGGCACAGUAUUCAUUUGGUAUAAAGAGCACCAUGGGCUUCAGAAGACACAUAAUGGAGUUGAGUCUCUUUCAUCCUUUUCUUAAGUACUUGACAAUUCCUUAAGAUUUGACAAUUCUAUCAAAGGGUUGUAUGAUCACAGCAACAAAACUAUUUACCAUGAAAAGAACAAACAGCUUCCCACAGCUCUACUGGUAUCAAAUCCAGAAAAGAAGUGAUUCACAAAAAUACAGUAAAGGCUGUGAAGAAUAAUAGCUGUGAAAUAAUAAGGUAUGUAUAAAGGCAGUAGAGUAAUUUGGUUUAACUGGCAGAUAUAUAAGCUUCACAUGAAAUGAAAAUUAAACACAGCUGCAUCUAUUACAAAGUUGUGAACCAAAUAUAUAUCAAAUAUAUAUCAAAAUGUGAAUUUAAACUGAAUUUAAAGCCAAACAAAGGCUGUAACUUUAGACUGUGCACAAUUAAGAGAAUUCAACAUUGAACUGGAAAAAACCCAGAUCUAGAACCAGAGAUGUGUGGCUCUAAAUUCACCAAGAAAACUGCUCAGAAUUUUCAGCACCAGAUGCAACAAACACAGCAACUUUGCAUUAGACCCUAUGUCAAAUGACUUACAACAAAAAUAUCUUUUCUGCAGUAGCAAAAUAACUACAGAAAUUCAUGUAGUGUUCACAUGAGGAUUUUUAUGUAACAUUUUAAAAUUCGGAGCAGUCAGGUCAAGUCAUUCCUCUUCACUGCUCUCCAAUAUGCACAUGAGCUGAAAUACUUUUACUUUAUGAGAUCUCCAGUCACAA